rnacentral:rRNA from 1 species
AGUGAACGCUGGCGGCAGGCCUAACACAUGCAAGUCGAACGACAGCAUAGUAAGCGCUUGCUCUUACGGGUGGCGAGUGGCGGACGGGUGACGUAUGCAUCGGAUUCUACUUUUACGGGGGUGAUAACGUAGGAAAACUUCCGCUAACACCGCAUAUGACGUACGGGUGAAAGCAGGGGUUCUUCGGGCUUUUCGCGAUUGUAAGAGCCGAUGUCGGAUUCGAUAGGUGGCUGGGUAAAGGCCCACCUAGGCGACGAUCCGUAGCUGGUCUGACAGGAUGGACAGCCACCCUGGAACUGAGGCACGGUCCAGACUCCUAAGGGGGGCAGCAGUGGGGAAUAUUGGAGAAUGGGGGGAAGGCUGAUCCAGCCAAACCGCGUGGGUGAAGAAGGCCUUCGGGUUGGAAAGCCCUUUUGUUGGGAGAGAAAAAAAGCAGGUUAAUACCCCGCUGUUCUGACGGUACCCAAAGAAUAAGCACCGGCUAACUUCGUG